UAGGGAAUCUUCGGCAAUGGACGAAAGUCUGACCGAGCAACGCCGCGUGAGUGAAGAAGGUUUUCGGAUCGUAAAACUCUGUUGUUAGAGAAGAACAAGGACGUUAGUAACUGAACGUCCCCUGACGGUAUCUAACCAGAAAGCCACGGCUAACUACGUGCCAGCAGCCGCGGUAAUACGUAGGUGGCAAGCGUUGUCCGGAUUUAUUGGGCGUAAAGCGAGCGCAGGCGGUUUCUUAAGUCUGAUGUGAAAGACCCCGGCUCAACCGGGGAGGGUCAGUGGAAACUGGGAGACUUGAGUGCAGAAGAGGAGAGUGGAAUUCGAUGUGUAGCGGUGAAAUGCGUAGAUAUAUGGAGGAACAACAGUGGCGAAGGCGGCUCUCUGGUCUGUAACUGACGCUGAGGCUAGAAAGCGUGGGGAGCAAACAGG
rnacentral:rRNA from 1 species